rnacentral:rRNA from 1 species
UACAGAGGGUGCGAGCGUUGUCCGGAAUUAUUGGCGUAAAGAGCUCGUAGGCGGUCUGUCGCGUCGGUCGUGAAAACCUGCAGCUUAACUGUGGCUUGCGGUCGAUACGGGCAUGACUGGAGUUCGGCAGGGGAGACUGGAAUUCCUGGUGUAGCGGUGAAAUGCGCAGAUAUCAGGAGGAACACCGGUGGCGAAGGCGG